GUGGGAUAUCUUUUUAAUGUGAACAUAUUAUUAUACUCUGGGUAUGUGACAUUCUUGCUUAAAAGAAAUAUUUACAAGAACAUAUACACACAAGUCAACAUAGCAAAUGAAGUAGAUACUUCAAAUGCCCAACUUGUACCAGAAAUAAAAUAUAUCACAUAAAUAAACAAAGAUUAUAUCCACAGUCAUUAAUACUUUCUACACAAAAUGACAAUAAAUUAAACCACAUUAUAUGCAGAUAGUUCUACUUACAUUGGUACAAUGCACAGUAUAUAAUUUGUGCAGCUUUUGCUUUCUCUCUCUACCAGCCUGAGAGUGGGUAAAUAGGCUUGUAUUGUCUUGAAUCUAUUUCUGUGUUUUUGAAGGGUUUUGUUUUGUUUUUUUUUUUAAGAAUGAAUGGUAUCAUCCAGAAGAGGAGGGACCAGUUAGACACCAAUAUUUUCUACCCGAUCCCCUUGGUUUCAUUUAAAUUCCUUACAAAUGGAAACUGGGAUAUACCAUGUGGGUAUUCAGGCCAAAUCCAUAAGGUCUUAUCUUCAGGCUUUGCAGGAGGUCUUUUAUCCCACUAAUGGGAGUAAAAACACCUCCUCAAGUAUCAUUAUUUGAUGUGGGCAUUGAAUAGACUACUCUAUCAAAACUCCAAACUUCCUCAUUUCUUGUUAUUAUCUAUCAUCUUCUGCCCAAUUUUAAUGUCUUUUGUUCCCUAAUGAAUAAUAAAAAAAACUAUAUAUAAUGCAUGUCAAUGCUUUACAGUAGCUUAACUAAUUUUAAACCAUCAAAGCAAUUGAAUUUUUUUAGUUUAUUCAAGCUUAUCCUAAGACCUAUCCCACACCUGAAACACCAAAGAACUAAUAAAAUUUAAGGAUUUUUAUUUCUGAUGCUCCAAUCAUAUUGAAUUUGAGUCUUAAGUAUCAUAUUUUAAAAUGUUUACAUUAAAAACAUCAGAUUAUCUAGAAUGCUAUUUUGCCUUUGAUGUAGAAUUAAUUAGUGGUUAAUGAGAAAUUUGAACAGAGUCCAAUCUAGCACUCUUUGAAAGUUGUAAUUAUACCAGAUUGAACAUCUCUAUUAUGAGACACCUGUGAAGUAUAAGUUUUGAAAGUCAAAGAGCCCAGUUUCUUUUCAUAUCCAGAUAAGCCUGAUUUAUAUUACUCCAAAAGCUUGUCUAGAGCUAGUGUAAGGAUUCCUACAAGACUGGAUUGUUUUAUCUUUUCUUUAUUUAAAAGACAUGCAUGUUUGAGUCACAAGUUGUUACUUGCUUAUUAGGCAAGAUGCCAAACUACUACCUUUAACAACACCUGUGAAUGGAGUGCAAUCUAUGUAAACUGGUUCUACUACAAUCUGUUUCAUUAACUGGUCCUCCCAUGAAUACCUGCAACUCUCCCUAUUCCUGUUAUUUUUGUAAGCCUUGAAUAUCCAUGCUACCUAUCUCUCUAGUUUGGCUCACAAGGGAACUAUUGUUUGGGGAUCAGAUUAUUGGUAUUAAAUUACUUUAAAAAUGGGUAAAAACACAAAGACUCUGAUAAACUAUUAUUUCUCACUCCUUUCUUCCAACUUACCUCAAACAGAGGUUUAUAAUUUUUCCAUCAAUUAGCUAUGCAAUAGAAUUUAGUUCAUUAUUAAAUGGUUCAUUAGGUUCUGAGCCAUAGGUUAAAAUAAAAGCAACUACCACAAAACUUUGAAUGAACUGCCAUUAUUUUUUUUACUUUUUGACCACUUUCAGGCACAAUUACUCUGUUGUCAAGGAAUUCUAAGCAUUCUAUGUUAAUAUUGUCUACAUUUAUACUGAGAAUGUGCUUUCUGAUUUUCAAUGUGUUUGGCAUAAUUUUGUAAUUUUUUCUGAAAACAUUUCCAUGAGUUGUUCUUGUAUGCUAAUUUAACCAGAAUGGUUAUGUAUUCCCUUUUCCACAAACUAUUUUCUUGUCUUUGGAUGUAGAUUUUCAAGUUAGAUGAAUUAAUCCUUAAAUCAAAUCUCUGUUUUUAAAGUACAAUAGAAUCCAUUUAUGGAAGAACUCUGGGAAAAUUACUUCCUUUCUCUGGGUCUCAGUUUCCCCUCAUUUGUAAAAUGAAGGGAAGAGGGAGGGACUUUGGUUUGCAUCAAAUUCAUAAAGUUCCUUCUAGUUCAAUGAUUCUGUGGCAUUUGUAACAUAAGAAGAGCUUAAAUGGGGGUGGUGACUUCACAAACAAUGAAUCCAAGAGUUGGGAAGAAAAGUAAAGCAAUAAGGAAUUCUGAAAGAAAUCAUGACAUUUUGAUGCGAAGGCAAAGAAAAGCUAUUCACUGGCAGCCUGGGAAAAGGAAGCCUCCUUCCAACCUCUCCACCCCUUCUAAAAAAGAAUCUGAAAUGUAAAGAACUGGUUCAUGGAAUUUGGAAAUGAGCUUAUAGCUACAGGAAACGUGGGCUGUUGAUUUUCCAAAGAAAUUCAAAGGUUUGUCUACAGAUUUUUAUAGAUUUAAAGGCAAUUUGUUGACGAGCUGGUAAAAAUCUUUUACCUCCAAGUUAAAAGCACCAUCUGAAUAGAUUGGUGACAGAUAACUAAAAAAAAAACUUUUAUUUUUUUUAACAAAGUCAAGAAUAAUUGGGUUUUAUUUUGAUCACUAUUACUUUUAAUCUAUUUGUAACCAGACUGAAAAAUAUUAUGAGAUAAUACCUUUUUUAAAAGACAUGAUAAAAUUUUAUUAAAAUGUUCUAUAAACUCAAACUCCAUUUGUUUUAAAUUUGGAAAAAGAAUGCUGGUAGAAUGUGAAUGCCAAUUCUGAGACAUGAGUGUGACAGUAUGGUUUAUCAGUUUUAAUCAUAAACCAAAAAUCAGAAGCUCAAGGGACUUAACCCUGACUUUUUGUGUAACUUUGGGCAAGACAUCUGAUAUUUUUAUGCUUAUCUUCUUAUUCACAAAACAGAGAUGUGAUUCUCUAUAGCUCAGUAUGAAAAAACAAAUCAUUUUAAUGAGGAAGUAGAUUUUUGGUUCAAGAGAUCUGCUUCAAGAAGGGACUAGAAUGAUUUCUAAGGAUGUGAUAAGUAGUCUUCUAGAAGUUGUACUCUAGUGUUAGGUUAUAAGUUGCCUUCCAGAAAGAAAAGCUGCCUCCUUUUAUUUACAAAACUUAAUUCUCCUCCUGUAUUUACAGACAUUUAUCCUCAAUCCCAUCCCUAUUUCCUGCCAGGUACUGGUAGGAAGAGUUUUUGUACCUUGGAGAUAACCUCCUUUCAGUGUCUGAUAUAUUGCUAGGCCAAUUGUUUGAAGUUUAAAAGGGACCUGUUUCUGCUUCUUUAUCAUUAAAGGAUCAACUCUUUGGCUAGUGGAAAGGAGAAGAAGUAAUAUGCCUUUCAGCCUCCAUAUAGCAAGAAAUACAUUUUUGUAGCAUUAUAGGUUGAUGCACUUUCCCAUGUUUUAGAAAUAUUUCUUUCUUUUAUUUUUGGAUUUUAAAAAUGUGUGAAAAGAUAGAUGUUUCCUAAUAGCAAAAGAAAAAGAUAAAAAUGCCUAAAAGUAA
ensembl:lncRNA